UACGUAGGGUGCGAGCGUUGUCCGGAAUUAUUGGGCGUAAAGAGCUUGUAGGCGGUUUGUCGCGUCUGCCGUGAAAUUUCGAGGCUCAACCUCGAACUUGCGGUGGGUACGGGCAGACUAGAGUGUGGUAGGGGAGACUGGAAUUCCUGGUGUAGCGGUGAAAUGCGCAGAUAUCAGGAGGAACACCGAUGGCGAAGGCAGCACUCUGGGACGGUACUGACGCUGAGACGCGAAAGCGUGGGGAGCAAACAGG
rnacentral:rRNA from 1 species